rnacentral:lncRNA from 1 species
CGGAGCAGCAGGCGCCCAGGAUGCUACGGCCCUAGGAGAUGCUGGGUUUUGGCCCCUGGCUGUGGGUUGUGGCUGUGUGGCCAUUGUGCUGGCUUUCCUGGCCGGGCUCAGCCUGAGGAAGAGGUCUGCAGCCAACACGGCCCUGGAGAGGACUGGGAAUGGUGGCAGCAAGAACAGAGCAGAGGAAGCACUUUACUCCUCGAUCCCUGGAGCUGAGGUACCCAAGGCUGAACAGGAUGCAGGGAAGAAGAAGAGAGCCGAGGAGACCUACAUAACCAUGCACCCCUCUCGCUUCCAGGAAAAUGGUGUCUAUGUGGAGCUGGCCAGGAGGGUGAUCCCCGCUGAAUGGAU